CCUUCGAUAGCUCAGUUGGUAGAGCGAAGGACUGUAGAUCCUAAGGUCGCUGGUUUGACUCCGGCUCGAAGGA
rnacentral:tRNA from 1 species